UUGGAUCACCUCCUAACAGGGAGAACCAACUUCAGAUGAUGAUCACUUUUUUUUAUGUGAUCCAUUUGACUGUUCAACCCUAUGGUCGAUCGGUACCUCAGUCAUUCAAGCGAGAGUUUGAGUGAAUUCGGUCCUUAAGCUUGUCUAGGUCACCACACCAGAAGCUGAUAGGCCUUUGGGCGAUGGGCCCGAGAGGGUUCCUGGGCCAUUAGCUCAGGUGGUUAGAGCGCACCCCUGAUAAGGGUGAGGUCCCUGGUUCAAGUCCAGGAUGGCCCAUUCGGUGUUGGGGGUUUAGCUCAGUUGGUAGAGCGCCUGCUUUGCAAGCAGGAUGUCAGGAGUUCGAGUCUCCUAACCUCCACUGACCGAACUGUAUCUCCAUCUCCAAGAUGUUGGAGUUGAGCUCGAUUGGAGUGUGAUUUAGAUGUGUCCGCUGGAAGACCCCAGCUUCCUGUCAUUCCAAAGACAAGUAAAAAGUUUACUUGUUGACUUUGGUUGAUAAGAUGCUGGGCUCAAAUGAGUUGAUCAAGCAAUUGAUCAAUUGAUUUGAAGUUCUAGCAGAACCUUGACAACUGCAUAGGUAAGUCUGGAAAGAAUAAAGCAUCUCAUGGAUGAUGCGAUGAUUCUUUUCUGUGAUCCGAAAGGAUGAUGGAGAAGGAGAGUUGCAAAUUCUAUCGAGCAAGAGCCGAGACUCCAUCACGUUCUUUCAAUUGUGUCGAGCAAUUGCGAGUCUGAUUCUUGAUUCAACAAUGAAUCAGGGAGAAUCUGUUUCAACGACAGCAAGCGUGUUGGAGAUUAUAUGGUCAAGCUACAAAGAGCUCACGGCGGAUACCUUGGCACACAGAGGCGAUGAAGGA
rnacentral:tRNA from 1 species